GACGAACGCUGGCGGCGUGCUUAACACAUGCAAGUCGAACGGAAAGGCCUGCUUUCCCUUGUGGAUUGCGGGUACUCGAGUGGCGAACGGGUGAGUAACACGUGAGUGAUCUGCCCCCAACUUGGGUAUAAGCCUGGGAAACUGGGUCUAAUUCCCGAUAGGACUGCAGGGUGGUGCCUGUGGUGGAAAACGAUUUUCUAGUGGUUGGGGAUGAGCUCGCGGCCUAUCAGCUUGUUGGUGGGGUAAUGGCCUACCAAGGCGGCGACGGGUAGCCGGCCUGAGAGGGUGGACGGCCACAUUGGGACUGAGAUACGGCCCAGACUCCUACGGGAGGCAGCAGUGGGGAAUAUAGCACAAUGGGCGGAAGCCUGAUGCAGCGACGCCGCGUGGGGGAUGACGGCCUUCGGGUUGUAAACUCCUUUCGACCGCGAGGAAGCCACCUGGUUGGAAGGGUGGUGACGGUAGUGGUAGAAGAAGCACCGGCUAACUACGU
rnacentral:rRNA from 1 species